CGCGAAUCGCCCUUCGGGGUGCAGCAGGCGCGAAAACUUUACAAUGCGGGAAACCGUGAUAAGGGGACACCGAGUGCCAGCAUCAUAUGCUGGCUGCCCAGGUGUGUAAAAUACACCUGUUAGCAAGGGCCGGGCAAGACCGGUGCCAGCCGCCGCGGUAACACCGGCGGCCCGAGUGGUGAUCGUGAUUAUUGGGUCUAAAGGGUCCGUAGCCGGUUUGGUCAGUCCUCCGGGAAAUCUGAUAGCUUAACUAUUAGGCUUUCGGAGGAUACUGCCAGACUUGGAACCGGGAGAGGUAAGAGGUACUACAGGGGUAGGAGUGAAAUCUUGUAAUCCCUGUGGGACCACCUGUGGCGAAGGCGUCUUACCAGAACGGGUUCGACGGUGAGGGACGAAAGCUGGGGGCACGAACCGGAUUAGAUACCCGGGUAGUCCCAGCCGUAAACGAUGCUCGCUAGGUGUCAGGCAUGGCGCGACCGUGUCUGGUGCCGCAGGGAAGCCGUGAAGCGAGCCACCUGGGAAGUACGGCCGCAAGGCUGAAACUUAAAGGAAUUGGCGGGGGAGCAC
rnacentral:rRNA from 1 species